UACGGGGGGGGUAAGCGUUGUUCGGAAUUACUGGGCGUAAAGGGCUCGUAGGCGGCCAACUAAGUCAGACGUGAAAUCCCUCAGCUUAACUGGGGAACUGCGUCUGAUACUGGAUGGCUUGGAUUCGGGAGAGGAAUGCGGAAUUCCAGGUGUAGCGGUGAAAUGCGUAGAUAUCUGGAGGAACACCGGUGGCGAAGGCGACUACCUGGCCUGUUCUUGACGCUGAGGCGCGAAAGCUAGGGGAGCAAACGGG
rnacentral:rRNA from 1 species